GUGUCAGCAGCCGCGGUAAUACGUAGGUGGCAAGCGUUGUUCGGAAUUAUUGGGCGUAAAGGGCGCGUAGGCGGCUCGUUAAGUCGGUUGUGAAAGCCCGGGGCUCAACCCCGGAGGGUCGACCGAUACUGGCGAGCUAGAGUACGGAAGAGGUAGCUGGAAUUCCCGGUGUAGCGGUGAAAUGCGUAGAUAUCGGGAGGAACGCCUGAGGCGAAGGCGGGCUACUGGGCCGAUACUGACGCUGAUGCGCGAAAGCCAGGGGAGCGAACGGGAUUAGAUACCCCGGUAGUCCUGGCCCUAAACGAUGGACACUUGGCGUGACGGGUCUCAACCCCUGUCGUGCCGGAGCUAACGCAUUAAGUGUUCCGCCUGGGGAGUACGGUCGCAAGGCUGAA
rnacentral:rRNA from 1 species